GAUGAAGAACGCAGCGAAAUGCGAUAAGUAAUGCGAAUUGCAGAAUUCCAGUGAGUCAUCGAAUCUUUGAACGCACAUUGCGCCCUUUGGUAUUCCGAAGGGCAUGCCUGUUCGAGCGUCAUUAUCACCCCUCAAGCCCUCGGCUUGGUGUUGGACGGUUUGGUGGAGGCCCCCUCGGGGGCUCCUGCCCCUCCCAAAGACAAUGACGGCGGCCUCGUUGGACCCCCGGUACACUGAGUUCUUCACGGGACACGUAUCGGACACAUGGGUUUACGGGACACGGUCUGCCUCCCCUCAGGGAGAAUCUUUCUAAGGUUGACCUCGGAUCAGGUAGGGAUACCCGCUGAACUUAAGCAUAUCAAUAAGCGGGA
rnacentral:misc_RNA from 1 species